rnacentral:rRNA from 1 species
AACGAACGCUGGCGGCGUGCUUAACACAUGCAAGUCGAACGAGACCGUCGGGUCUAUUGGCGCAGGGGUGCGUAACGCGUGGGAACCUGCCCCUAGGGUCGGAAUAACUCCCCGACAGGGGUGCUAAUAGCGGGGAAGGUCUUCAGGGCAAAGAUUGAUGGGCUUUGGUUGGGCGCGCGUGGGAUUAGCUAGGUGGUAGGGUAAUAGGCUCCCAAGGGGCCGAUCCACAGCUAGUUUGAGAGGAGGGUCAGCGACAAGGGGACUGAGACACGGCGCAGACUGCUACGGGAGGCAGCGGUGGGGAGUAUGGGGCAGUGGGCGAAAGUGUGAUACAGCGAUGUCGGGUGAGUGAUGAAGGCCUUAGGGUUGUAAAGCUCUUUUACCCGGGAUGAUAAUGACGGUACCGGGAGAAUAAGCGCCGGCUAACUACGUG